rnacentral:rRNA from 1 species
GACGAAGGGGGCUAGCGUUGUUCGGAAUUAUUGGGCAUAAAGGGCGCGUAGGCGGCUUGGCAAGUGGAUGGUGAAAUCCCUCGGCUUAACCGAGGAACUGCCGUCCAAACUGCUUCGCUUGAGACCGGGAGAGGUGGGUGGAAUUCCCAGUGUAGCGGUGAAAUGCGUAGAUAUUGGGAGGAACACCAGUGGCGAAGGCGGCUCACUGGACCGGUACUGACGCUGAUGCGCGAAAGCGUGGGGAGCAAACGGG